UGCAGAAGCUAGGAUUCUCAAGCGACUCUUCAACUGAGAUCGUGAUUGAAGAGGCCAAGCCCAAACCAUCAGAAUCCAACCUCUCAAACUUCAUACUCAACGAGCAAGUGGUGUCAUAAUAGUUGUAGAAAAAGGUCUCUACUCUUAUCGGAUCAUGGAAAAGCUGAAGAAUCAAAGUUUCCUUAGAAGGCCGGUGUAGCAUUACAGUGCUCACUUAACCGGAGAAGACGAUUUUUGUAUACGUACAUACGUAUGUAUGAAUGUGCAACUCCUACUGGUUGGUCAAAUCAAAGUGCCCAUUUGUGUCUUCUGUCUCAACCAUGAUACUUGCCCUCAUGGGUUGUUUCUUGAGCUAGUCUAUUAGUGUACUAACAUAUAUAUGAUAUUAAAAGUUUAAACCAAAAGAAGAUAUGUAAUAUCUUUAGUUACUCGCAUUUUAGUACAUCAUUUUUUAGCAAGGUAAAA